UACGUAGGGUGCGAGCGUUGUCCGGAAUUAUUGGGCGUAAAGAGCUCGUAGGCGGCUUGUCGCGUCGGAUGUGAAAGCCCCGAGCUUAACUUGGGAACUGCGCUCGAAACUACUUGGCUAGAGUGUGGCAGAGGGAGGUGGAAUUCCACGUGUAGCGGUGAAAUGCGUAGGAGAUCGGCAGGAACACCCAGGGGGAAACCAGUCGACUGGGCAUCUACUGACGC
rnacentral:rRNA from 1 species